CCUACGGGGGGCAGCAGUGAGGAAUAUUGGUCAAUGGGCGAGAGCCUGAACCAGCCAAGUCGCGUGAAGGAUGAAGGAUCUAUGGUUUGUAAACUUCUUUUAUAUGGGAAUAAAGUGAGGCACGUGUUCCUUUUUGUAUGUACCAUAUGAAUUAGCAUCGGCUAAACCCGUGCCAGCAGCCGCGGUAAUACGGAGGGUGCGAGCGUUUCCCGGAUUUAUUGGGUUUAAAGGGGGCGUAGGUGGUUAAUUAAGUUAACGGUGAAAGUUUGUGGCUCAAACAUAAGAUUGCCGUUGAAACUGGUUGACUUGAGUAUGUUUGAGGUAGGCGGAAUGCGUGGUGUAGCGGUGAAAUGCAUAGAUAUCACGCAGAACUCCGAUUGCGAAGGCAGCUUACU
rnacentral:rRNA from 1 species